rnacentral:lncRNA from 1 species
AGGGUCUGAUCUCUGCACCCCGGGCCCCCGCGCAGACCCGCGGACGAGCGCUGGGUGGGGAUUUCAACCUGCUCCAGCUGAUGUGCGCGGGGUUUGCACCCCGGGGAGGCGAGGGAGAGAGUCCGGCCACGUCCUGCCAGGCCCCGCCCGCGCCCCCGCUGCCCUCCAGCGCGGAACCCAGGUCCCAGGAGACGCGAGGCGCCCAAGGCCCCGGGAUUCCGAGCCAGUCAACCCCGGGCCGCGACGCUCUGGGAACCACACCCGUCCAGGAAGGCACCUUGGCCAAAGCCGGCUCCUUCGCAGAUGACCCGGGCCAGGGUCCGAGCGCCAGGCUGUGACCCCGCGAGGCUGUUCCACGCUGGCCGCGAGAGACGGAGGGCAGGAGGGGCCCGAAUAGGACAGAGAGAGAGAGAGAGAGAGACAGAAGGAGGCGCACGCGCUCCCCAGGGACCGGGACGCGGUGGUGGGCGGGACCUCGCGGGGGUGGGGGGUGGUCGCAGGACCCAGAAGGCUCAGGACCUUUACGGAUAGGGAGGACCCCGCAGGGGGGAGCGGGGGAGCCCCACGCCCGGCGUCCUCCGGGUGCGAGGGUCUCGGGGAGUCCGAGCCCGGGCCCACGGCCUCUGUCCCGCGGCCACUACCUGCUGGGGGUCCCGGGCCUGGGCCACGCCGGGCUGCCCUCGGGGACUUGCUGCGGCCGUUGAGGGGUCUCCGCGCGCCGCGCAGACUCGCCUCCCAACCCGAGGGCCCGGGCGGCCGCCGCCCAGAGCGUCCAGCGGCAGCGUCUUGCUCUCGAAGGCGUCCUCCACGCAGCGGAACACGCAGCCAAGCUUGGGCCGGGCCAGAGGCCUCGCGGGCUCCUGAGGCUGCCGCGCGGUCACGGCAGGAGCGGGCGACAGAAUCCGGUCUCGGAGCCUCCUGUAGCGAGCCACAGGAGGGAGCCUCCCAGGUGGUCGACCGGAGCCAGGUGCUGCCAGGCACCCGACUGCAGAGCUUGCCCUCCAGGUGAUCUCGCAGUAUCGGUGUUCACAAGCCCUGUAAGGCACUCGGGGUAUCCUGAAGGCUACAGAUUCUGCAAGGGCAGAGACUUUAAGGAACAGCCAUAGUCCUUCUCCAGCUCAAAAUCUGGACCAUGGGCACAAGGUAAACAACACACUGGUGUCAACAAAGGAAUCUGCUAUUUAUGUGGAUUUUUACUUUAGACAAACUAAAGUAUCUAUGUUGUUCUGUGUGUUGAACACAGAGUGUGAUGAUGUUAAUAUAAUG